UACGGGGGGAGCAAGCGUUGUUCGGAUUUACUGGGCGUAAAGGGCGCGUAGGCGGCCAGCACAAGUCAGUUGUGAAAUCUCCGAGCUUAACUCGGAAAGGUCAACUGAUACUGUGCGGCUAGAGUGCAGAAGGGGCAACUGGAAUUCUUGGUGUAGCGGUGAAAUGCGUAGAUAUCAGGAGGAACACCUAUUGCGAAGGCAGCUCGCUGGGACGAAUUGACGCUGAGACGCGAAAGCGUGGGGAGCAAACAGG
rnacentral:rRNA from 1 species